rnacentral:lncRNA from 1 species
UGGAUAUUAAGUGCCUGCUUCUAUUUGUGAUAAAUAUAGUGUUUGGAUGAUUUACAAAAAUUAGUAUUUUCACAACUGAUGCAUGGAAUUAAAACCUCUUUGCCUUUCUUAUUGUUUUUUUGAAUCAAAGCCAUAAAAAUGAGACUAUCUUUAUAUUCUAAGAUGUCCAAAAAUAUCUUAUUUGAAUCCUGUUUAUGAGUUCCUAAUGUAUUUAAUGCACUGCUAACCAGUGAAAACAUCUAGUCAUCACAAAACUUAAGCUAAAUUAGACAUUUAUAUUAUAGUUGAUGAACAGAAGUGAUUACAUUUCAUUGACCAGAAGGACACUGGACUUUACACUUUCUAGGGAUAGAUCACAAUGUAGAGAAUGUUACUCUUUCAAAAGUCUAUUUUUUUUUCUUUUCUUCUCUUCCUAUAUAUACACAUAUAAAAACUCAGUCAAUAAUUCUCUAUAACAUACAAAAUUAUUCCAUAACACAUUUUACUCCAGGGCUAUUAGAACUAAACUGGGUCUCUAGGCCAGCUGCUGUUUUCAU